AGGAAGAGCACUGCCUCUUAGGACCUGGACCAAGUCACCUGGCCUCUGCAGAGAUCCCACUUUGAUGAGGGACCAAACCAAGUGCCAUUCUAAGAACUUGAGCCAGCCCCUGCCCUGGGGCUUGUGGUAGCUGCAUUCCUGCUUCAUAUCCCCACUGCACCUUGCAGAAUGGAAAGGAAAUUUGUGCCACGACCAAAAAUUGAUGAUUCUGCCAUUCAUCUAGGUGUUCAAUUGUGUUGAAACUGCUCAGAGAUUGCAUCAAAGGAAAGGGCUUUAUGUUUUGACAAACACCAGGACUUCUCUGUUAGCAACUUGGAAAUAAAUUUCUGAAAAGAGGAAGCUCUUUAGUAACUGAAAAUGAAAAUGUGCCAACACAGUUGAGAAAUGUGAACCAAGGUCUCUACUUUCAGUAAAGCCACAUUUACCACAUGGCAUGAAGAUUCAUUAUCAGGACAAAACCAAAGGAUGAAAUUUGUUCUGUGAUGACUUUUUAUUUUUCCUGGAACAACAGAAUAACAUUUAGAACUAUAUCUCCUAUGAAAUUACAGAUUCAUUUAAACUCUAAUGUGAAAAAAA